UGAUCUGCCCUGCACUUCGGGAUAAGCCUGGGAAACUGGGUCUAAUACCGGAUAUGACCUCAGGAUGCAUGUCUUGUGGUGGAAAGCUUUUGCGGUGUGGGAUGGGCCCGCGGCCUAUCAGCUUGUUGGUGGGGUCACGGCCUACCAAGGCGACGACGGGUAGCCGGCCUGAGAGGGUGUCCGGCCACACUGGGACUGAGAUACGGCCCAGACUCUACGGGAGGCAGCAGUGGGGAAUAUUGCACAAUGGGCGCAAGCCUGAUGCAGCGACGCCGCGUGAGGGACGACGGCCUUCGGGUUGUAAACCUCUUUCAGCACAGACGAAGCGCAAGUGACGGUAUGUGCAGAAGAAGGACMRGCCAACUACGUGCCAGCAGCCGCGGUAAUACGUAGGGUCCGWGCGUUGUCCGGAAUUACUGGGCGUAAAGAGCUCGUAGGUGGUUUGUCGCGUUGUUCGUGAAAACUCACA
rnacentral:rRNA from 1 species